rnacentral:rRNA from 1 species
GANGAACGCUGGCGGUAUGCCUUAUACAUGCAAGUCGUACGAGAGUUUUUAACUCAAGUGGCGGACGGGUGAGUAACACGUAAGAAUUUACCUUUAGGAGGGGGACAACAACUGGAAACGGUUGCUAAUACCCCAUAUGCUUUCGAGUGAAACGGAUUUUCCGCCUAAAGAGAAGCUUGCGGCUGAUUAGCUUGUUGGUAAGGUAAUGGCUUACCAAGGCGACGAUCAGUAUCUGGUUUGAGAGGAUGAUCAGACACACUGGAACUGAGACACGGUCCAGACUCCUACGGGAGGCAGCAGUAGGGAAUUUUCCGCAAUGGGCGAAAGCCUGACGGAGCAAUACCGCGUGAGGGAUGACUGCCUAUGGGUUGUAAACCUCUUUUUUCAGGGAGGAACACAAUGACGUGUACCUGAAGAAUAAGCAUCGGCUAACUCCGUGCCAGCAGCCGCGGUAAG